UUGAAGAGUUUGAUCAUGGCUCAGAUUGAACGCUGGCGGCAGGCCUAACACAUGCAAGUCGAGCGGUAGCACAGAGAGCUUGCUCUCGGGUGACGAGCGGCGGACGGGUGAGUAAUGUCUGGGAAACUGCCUGAUGGAGGGGGAUAACUACUGGAAACGGUAGCUAAUACCGCAUAAUGUCGCAAGACCAAAGUGGGGGACCUUCGGGCCUCAUGCCAUCAGAUGUGCCCAGAUGGGAUUAGCUAGUAGGUGGGGUAACGGCUCACCUAGGCGACGAUCCCUAGCUGGUCUGAGAGGAUGACCAGCCACACUGGAACUGAGACACGGUCCAGACUCCUACGGGAGGCAGCAGUGGGGAAUAUUGCACAAUGGGCGCAAGCCUGAUGCAGCCAUGCCGCGUGUAUGAAGAAGGCCUUCGGGUUGUAAAGUACUUUCAGCGGGGAGGAAGGCGAUAAGGUUAAUAACCUUGUCGAUUGACGUUACCCGCAGAAGAAGCACCGGCUAACUCCGUGCCAGCAGCCGCGGUAAUACGGAGGGUGCAAGCGUUAAUCGGAAUUACUGGGCGUAAAGCGCACGCAGGCGGUCUGUCAAGUCGGAUGUGAAAUCCCCGGGCUCAACCUGGGAACUGCAUUCGAAACUGGCAGGCUAGAGUCUUGUAGAGGGGGGUAGAAUUCCAGGUGUAGCGGUGAAAUGCGUAGAGAUCUGGAGGAAUACCGGUGGCGAAGGCGGCCCCCUGGACAAAGACUGACGCUCAGGUGCGAAAGCGUGGGGAGCAAACAGGAUUAGAUACCCUGGUAGUCCACGCCGUAAACGAUGUCGAUUUGGAGGUUGUGCCCUUGAGGCGUGGCUUCCGGAGCUAACGCGUUAAAUCGACCGCCUGGGGAGUACGGCCGCAAGGUUAAAACUCAAAUGAAUUGACGGGGGCCCGCACAAGCGGUGGAGCAUGUGGUUUAAUUCGAUGCAACGCGAAGAACCUUACCUGGUCUUGACAUCCACAGAACUUAGCAGAGAUGCUUUGGUGCCUUCGGGAACUGUGAGACAGGUGCUGCAUGGCUGUCGUCAGCUCGUGUUGUGAAAUGUUGGGUUAAGUCCCGCAACGAGCGCAACCCUUAUCCUUUGUUGCCAGCGGUUCGGCCGGGAACUCAAAGGAGACUGCCAGUGAUAAACUGGAGGAAGGUGGGGAUGACGUCAAGUCAUCAUGGCCCUUACGACCAGGGCUACACACGUGCUACAAUGGCAUAUACAAAGAGAAGCGACCUCGCGAGAGCAAGCGGACCUCAUAAAGUAUGUCGUAGUCCGGAUUGGAGUCUGCAACUCGACUCCAUGAAGUCGGAAUCGCUAGUAAUCGUAGAUCAGAAUGCUACGGUGAAUACGUUCCCGGGCCUUGUACACACCGCCCGUCACACCAUGGGAGUGGGUUGCAAAAGAAGUAGGUAGCUUAACCUUCGGGAGGGCGCUUACCACUUUGUGAUUCAUGACUGGGGUGAAGUCGUAACAAGGUAACCGUAGGGGAACCUGCGGUUGGAUCACCUCCUU
rnacentral:rRNA from 1 species